UACGUAGGGGGCAAGCGUUGUCCGGAAUCAUUGGGCGUAAAGAGCGCGCAGGCGGCCACCGCGCGUCGGACGUGAAAUCUCCCGGCUCAACUGGGAGGGGUCGUGCGAUACGGCGGGGCUCGAGGCCGGUAGGGGGACGCGGAAUUCCCGGUGUAGUGGUGGAAUGCGUAGAUAUCGGGAGGAACACCAGUGGCGCAGGCGGCGUCCUGGACCGGCACUGACG
rnacentral:rRNA from 1 species